rnacentral:rRNA from 1 species
CCUACGGGUGGCAGCAGUGAGGAAUAUUGGUCAAUGGUCGGGAGACUGAACCAGCCAAGCCGCGUGAGGGAUGAAGGUCCAGAGUAUCGUAAACCUCUUUUGUCAGGGAACAAAGGCGGGGACGCGUCCCCGGAUGAGUGUACCUGAAGAAAAAGCAUCGGCUAACUCCGUGCCAGCAGCCGCGGUCAUACGGAGGAUGCGAGCGUUCUCCGGCUUUAGUGGGGUUAAAGGGUGCGCCGGCUGUCUGUUAAGUCAGCGGUAAAAGCCCGGGGCUCAACCCCGGCCCGCCGUUGAAACUGGCAGUCUCGAGUUGGAGAGAAGUAUGCGGAAUGCGCGGUGUAGCGGUGAAAUGCAUAGAUAUCGCGCAGAACUCCGAUUGCGAAGGCAGCAUGCCGGCUCCACACUGACGCUGAGGCACGAAAGCGUGGGUAUCGAACAGGAUUAGAUACCCUUGUAGUC